rnacentral:rRNA from 1 species
UACGUAGGGGCCGAGCGUUGUCCGGAGUUAUUGGGCGUAAAGCGCGCGCAGGCGGCCUCGCGCGCCCGACGUGAAAGCCCCCGGCUUAACCGGGGAGGGUCGUUGGGGACGGCGGGGCUUGAGGGCGGGAGAGGUCGGUGGAAUUCCCGGUGUAGUGGUGAAAUGCGUAGAGAUCGGGAGGAACACCUGUGGCGAAGGCGGCCAACUGGCACUCAACUGACGCUCAGGCACGAAAGCGUGGGGAGCAAACAGG